UACGUAGGGUGCAAGCGUUAAUCGGAAUUACUGGGCGUAAAGCGUGCGCAGGCGGCUUUGCAAGACAGAUGUGAAAUCCCCGGGCUUAACCUGGGAACUGCAUUUGUGACUGCAUGGCUGGAGUGCGGCAGAGGGGGAUGGAAUUCCGCGUGUAGCAGUGAAAUGCGUAGAUAUGCGGAGGAACACCGAUGGCGAAGGCAGCCUCCUGGGCCAACACUGACGCUCAUGCACGAAAGCGUGGGGAGCAAACAGG
rnacentral:rRNA from 1 species